rnacentral:rRNA from 1 species
UCGAGAAUCUUCCGCAAUGGACGAAAGUCUGACGGAGCGACGCCGCGUGGAGGAUGAAGUUCUUCGGAAUGUAAACUCCUUUUGCCAGGGAAAAAGUUAUUGAUUGUACCUGGAGAAUAAGAAGUUGCUAAACUCGUGCCAGCAGCAGCGGUAAUACGAGUGCUUCGAGCGUUAUCCGGAAUCAUUGGGCGUAAAGGGUGUGUAGGCGGCGAUGUUAGUCUCAUGUUAAAUCUUUCGGCUUAACCGAGAGUCUGCAUGGGAAACGGCAUUGCUUAGAGGACGGAAGAGGUCACUGGAACUCAUGGUGUAGCGGUGAAAUGCGUUGAUAUCAUGGGGAACACCAAAAGCGAAGGCAAGUGACUGGUCCGCUCCUGACGCUGAAACACGAAAGCGUGGGUCGCGAAUG